UUUGAAACAGCUACAAGUAAGAUUUUGGUGAAAGUUAGUGAAAUUACUCUUUUUCUUAUUAAAAUUUAGAGAAAGUUAGUUUAUACAAAUUCUUCAAGGAUUUGUGAGAUGGCCAAUCUUUUUGCUAUUUCUAUUUUCUUGUCUUAGGUUUAUUAGCUCUAUUUAUGAGCAGGUCUAUGACAUAGGUCAUGGUUUUACUUCCACAAAAGUUUACUUAACAGGUAUUAUUUUCAUUUUUAGCAUGGGAUAGCUAAGACAUUCAUUUAAGAAAAAUGAAAGAUAUUGAUUGUGAUAUCUUUGGAUUCUGAAGUGAAAAAAUUCCUUGUUAGUUAUCAGUUAUCACCCGGACAAGUUAGAAAAAGUAUUGUUUUCUAGAAAUUUUGGUGGAAGUGGCUGAGGAAACGCUAAAAUAGAGCUGGAAAGUUAGUUCUGUAUAUUCACAUUAGGUAAAUUAGCAAAUUUUAGGUCUCACAGCAAGGCUUUCUUGCCUGAAGCUGUUGUCAUUGACCUUCAUGUAAUACUUAUUCAACUAGGCUUAAAGUUUAGUUCCGUUUAGAUCACGUUGCUUAAUACCACCUGUAGACAUGAAAAAUUUUAAUAGGAAAAAUGAUAUGCAGGUUGUCUAUUGCCACACAUUUUGUGAAGGGUUCAACUGAUUAAAAAAAUUCACAUUUCAUCACCGGAACUAAUCUUGCUAUCUUCAUAAAAGCAAUCCCUUUCUAAUCUUAGUCUUCAAUUUGCAGGUGCUAAAGAAAGGUAAGAUAACACAAGUUUGGAUGAUGGAAGAAAAUGAGUGCCUCAUCUCUUCUUGAAGCUGAGACAAGUGAAGGUACCUGGACCUUGGUAGAAAGCUCUUUGAGAUCGUGACAACAACUUAGAUUUAAAUGUUUUUCUCGUUCUUCUGCUGGAAAAUUUACUUCCUUGUUCAUGAUAACUAAAUUGCCUGUACUAUCGAGAUAGAAGUCUGUAUAAUGAUGUUCUUCAUUGAGAAGGAAGUAGUGAAAUUGUGCUGGAUAUCAGAUAUCAAUUGUUGACUACUGGUUUAUUUUUCCCACUCCAUGCAACUAUGGAAAAUUCUGCAUUAGCAGCUCUUUAUCUGGAAAGUUCCAUGUUAAAAGUAGUACUAAGUCACAUUCUAGUUCUGUAAAUUUUGGGGAAGGUAAUGGUGUUUUUAUGGUUCUGAGGGUUUGAGGGGGGCUAGGGGCUGGGCUUUUAAAUCUAGCUUCAGUUAAGAAGUUUGGCGAAUGGAAGUACGCAGUCCAUAAAUUUCCUCCGUGGGAGGAAAAGUCAUGAUAGGCUGUAUUAUUAUUCUACUUUAAGUUAAUUUCUUGGUAAUUUCCUUAGAAACCAUGGAAUAUAUCUUUGAAGUACAUAGGCUGCAGACCAUGUAUAAAGCAAGUUGAUAUUGUUGUCACUUAUGAUUUUUUUCCCACAGUACCUGUCUGUUUCUUUUCAUUUUCCUUUGUUAAAAAAACACUCAAGAUCUUUACAUUUUUAUUAUAGCUGAGAAGAUAACAUAUGUGUGAGUGUGACAAAUAUCUUUAAUGGGUGAACUUUGUUCACUAAUCUUGUCAAAUAUUCUUAAACAUUGCUAAACAGAUAUUGCUAAAAGGUCAAAAGUAAUUCUGCGGAGGCUCUAAAGCCUGACUUAUCACCAUGUUGCUGAUAUGCUUGUAAUCUUUCAGCAUGGGAUGUUGCAUUAAAUGGUUAUCUACAAAGGAUUGGGGGUAGUGGUGAUCUUCUCUACUUGAAAUGUUCUUUGGACUAGCGAUAUGUUUAUCAGACACUCAAGUAAGUUGCUCAUUGAUAAUUAAUACCUCGAAGGAAGACAGCAGAAAUAAUAACGGGAUAUAAGUCUGUAAGAAGCAAUUGUAUGAGGUGCUUUAUUUCAAUAAUAAUAAACGUGGAAGGCAGAAAAAAAGAAGUUGUUUUAGUACAAAGAAAAGAACAUGCUCAUUCAAAUCCUCGUAUGAUACUGUCUCAUCAUCCCAAUGACCCGGAGCUUUGCAAUCUCUGGACCAAAAUAGGAAAGACUGACACACAGCUUCUUUUUCUUGUCGUCUAUAGUUUAGUUUCAGACACAGGCUCAAAUUCUUGUGGACUCUUUUAGGUGCUAUGAGUAAUGGAAAUUUAAUACUUUUUGCCACUGUUCUCUGCUAUUCUACAAUGGGAUGACCAUAUUACCUCUAUACAUAUGCAUAUCUUUACACUAGUGCUAUCUCUUUAACUUUCAUAGAAUGAGUCUUUUUGAUAAAUCCUACAUAGAGGUCUGUCCUGCUUGAGUCACACUCUGGACGUCUAGCAUUUCGGCCUCCUCCUGACAUGCUUUUCACGAAUUGCCCUAAAUUCUGCCAAUUUUCUGGCUCAAACAACCGUUUGUUCAUUCUCAGGAAUGUAAAUGCGCUCAAUGCAUUUCCAGAAUCUGACCUGCUUGUUGCCAAAACCUGAGAAUAUGCUCCUUCAUCGUACCUCUCUAGAGCAUUCUCUCCAGCAAGUUCUACUUCAGAAGUUCUAGUUGCUUUUUUUACUUGUCGAACUAAGCCUUCUGGUGAGCAAUUUGCACUCUGGGGCUGUUCACCAUCCCUCAUUUCCAUACAUGUAAAGUUAAAUACAACACGAUGUUUCCCGAACAUACGUGAUAUAGGUAGAUAGCCAUUUGUGUCUCUCGUAUUGUAGUAUCCUGCUGUUAACUCUGCUGCAGCAUGUGAUCUGGUAUUGUAAUGCCAAUGAAUUCCAGCUACCUUUCCAGAUAGUUUAGCCCCAGUUCCUUGGUAUAUACUUUCUGCUGCUCCUAGGAUCCUGUCGCCAUGCUCCAGUAGCUUUCCUGAAUACCACUCUAGGAAGAACUUUCCAUAUUCACUAUUCCAUGUUCCAUCUCUUUGGAAAAAUCCAGUAUCUUCAGGAAAUUGGUUGUACUGUCCUGAGUCAUGAGGCCCUCCCUGGCCCCAGUCAUCCUUUCCCGCCGCAUUGGCAGAUGCUGCCAAUGAAGCUCUCAUGUACUGUACGUGUUUACAAAAAAAAAGUUAGUUUAUUUUUUCCAGCUUCUGAAGGUCUUUCUAUUUUUUUCUGAGAUUUACUUAUGUAAGGAAAAACAAUUUUAUUAAUAUCUCUGACAUUAGAUGCAAAACAUUACCUUGUCAUAGUUCUGGAAUUCUCCAAUUCCAGGAAAUCUCCAAGUACCAUUGCUUUCUGGGUAGGAUGGAUAUCUUAGCUCCCCACACGGACCCAAUCCCACUUGAAUCUCCUGUAGAAGAAAAUAGAAUGUCAAUUUGAAAUUUUCCUACCAUUUUAGCUUGGAAAAUACAAUAGGAGUAUAGCACCCAAGGGUGUGGCCUAGUUGUCAAUGAAGUCGGUUGAGAACCAUGAAGUCUCAAGUUCAAAUCCCAGCGGAGAUAAAAAUACUACAGUAGGUGAUUUAUUUCCAUCUGUCCAAGCCUUGCUGGUGGAAGUAGUAGGUAUUUCGUGGAAUUAGUUGAGGUGCGUGUAAGCUGGUCCCGACACCACAGUUAUCAAAACAUAUAUAUAUAUAUAUAUAAUAUGGUAUAUUAAGAGGUACUCUGUAUCAUUUGGAUGAUUCUAUAUACUUUACUGGUCCACCUUUUAGAUGGCUAACCAACAAAUUAGUCGACCACAUGAGAUUACAUAGAGUAACUUAUUCGAUUUUGCUUAUUCACUUAUUUUCUUAGCCGCCGUUCUCUCUUUUGGAUAAAUAGCCUGAUUUGUUUUUGCUUAGGUUACUUCAAAUUAGCCUUCAACGUAUAUUUCUCCCGGAUUAGGAUAAAUUAUUUAAUCCUAUCCUAAUGAAGACCUGCAGUGGUUUAAUGUUUAAAACAUUUUUUUUAACAAUUAGCAGCUUCACUUUUCAACUUAGCUCCUAUUCCUCCCUUAAAGAACGAAAGAGUUUUUUGUGGAUGCUGUGUGUGUUUAUUUUGCUAAAGCUUGUGCUUGUUGUUUUCAGUUACUGUUGCCCUAGAGUUUUAAUAGACUAAUAGGAAGUUAUUGAAGUGAUAAUAUUGGUUAUGUGAUUGUAUAACAGAAGUCUUACCACUAUGACAUCUCCCAAGUAAUGGCUGAAUCUUUCUCUGAAGCUCCUCAUAUAGUCAGUGUAUACCUGAAUGGGUGUUCUUCCUUUGAGUACUGGUAACAUAUCACAACCUAAGGAAAUAUACUCGGGAUUUCUCCUUCCUGAUCUAUCUGUGUAGACAAGAUCUGGAUUCUUCCCGAUAUCUUCAAGUACCCAUGGAGGUAGAGGAAUACUGCAAAAUCCGUUACAAUUUUUAGUGACAGUUUGAUUUCUUCCAGAACUGCGAUUCUGAAUAAUUCCAGUUUCACUUGAAAUAUUCCCUUGUAAGCUAUGAAGUAUUACUUUGGAUUGCAUGCAGUAGAAUGUCUUUUGUCAAAGAUUAUAAUUUUGUUAACCAUUUCAUGCAAGGACUGAGAACUUUAAGAAAGCUGGGAUUCUAUAGGAGUAUUGGAUAUUUUGAGAAAAAUAAUAAUUGUCUCUUUCCUUUAAAAGCUUUGGGAAACAUUACUGAUUAAGAUGAUAGGAAUUGCCUUAUUGGUGUUGUGAUUUGUGAAUAUGAGAACAGAAAAGGUAAACUUCCUAGUUCAUUCAGAACCUAAUUAUAAGUUUCCUGAAUCUGUGCAAUAAUGGUGUAUUGGUACAGAUUGCUAGAUUAUUGAGGUUUAAGAUUUACUAUCUCUAUAAUACUAGUAGCUUAUUAGAGCCUAAUGGAAAUAAAGCAGAAUAUAGAUUGUGAUAAAGCCUAAUGGAAACAUAAACUGCAUUUUAACAGUACCUGCAAGAGUCUCCAACAUUUCCACCGCACUGAUGAAAAGACAUGACAACUUGAAGUUUCAAGCCAUGUUCUUUGCACAUCUUAACAAGUUCAGCAUAACCUUCCCAGUUAUAUUUCAAAGGUCCAUCUUUUUCAACCAAACCCCACCAAGCAUCUACCAUUACUCCUUCAACUCCAGCACUUUUCAACGCCAUUAAACUCACGUGCAUCGCUCGUGGUUUGUUCAAGUUCCCUCCCAUGGUUAUGGUGUCAAGUGGCAACAUCACAAAAACAGGUACCUUUGUACUACUAUUAAUAUUACUGUGAGUAGUUGUUAGGACAUGAAGUUUUUCCCUUUCCUCAUUACCGAUAACUCUCUCAUGAGAGAGUUGAGCUUCUUGCAUGGAACUCUUUGUUAUCAUGAGACGACAAGAUGGCUUCGUUAGUGCAAACGAAACCAUGCCUAAGAAAUCAUCAGGUGUUUUAAUACCUUUGGUUUCUGUUAUAUUGAUAAAAGAAGUUGAAGAAUGAGGUGUUAAAGCCAUUUAUUGUGUUUUUUUUUUAUUUUACAAUAGAAGAUGUUGGAAUUGCUGUUUUUGAUAAUAGAAGAUGUAGGAAUUGAUGAAGUUGUCGUUGUGUAUUUAUAAAGCAAGAUCCUGAGGUUUCAGGUGCAUGAUUCAUGAAGGAGACAAAUUUGGUGGGCUCUAUUUAGAUAUUCAGAAAAAGGUGCAAAAGGUUUAAAACGAGUCGGCAAACUUUUUCAAGGUCUGUAUUCUACUUAACGUGGCGACACAUACAUGAUAUAACUCUAUUUUAUAAACCUUUAUGUCCUCGGUAAUAUAACAUAUAACGUUGCCGACCUCAAUUAGGAAUGAUUCAAAAAAGUAAGAAAAAAACGAAAUUCAUUUAAACGUGAAAUAAAUUAUAUACGGUCGAAAUAGAUUUCGGUCUUCCUACGUCGAUCGAGUUCGAAUUGUAAGCGACCGGAGUGGAAUUUUGGGAUGAGUUCCGAAGACAGUACAAACGAGCCUCGAGUUCCAAAGACUGAUCGAGGAGUCGGCUCGAUACUAUUAUCGAGCCCAUGACCAAAUCGACCCGCAAGGCAACGUGAGGGUGGUCGGAAACGCGCUACACCCACCCCAAAGGUCGAACUCAUGCCAAAGCCGAGGGCUCGACCCAAUAACGAGUUCGAGCCAGUAUCGAGCUCGCAAACAAGAGCCGUUACAAUCGCACUAAGAGAGAGAAUCUUGGCGGGAAUCAAGGAAGAGACAAUUUAUCAUGGUUUCUCCACUAUAUGUUUUCCUUUUGAUAAAUAAAGUAAGAUCCCUCUACAAUAAGAGGGGGAAUCCUUGUAAGCAUAAGACACUCUCACACACUGUAACAAAAGAUCACUUCUCAUAUUGAAAGGUAUCCUCUUGUGCUCGUUUUACUUUAUCUUAUUCGCUCUUCUUGCUCACUAUUCUCAUUCUCAUAGUCAAGAACAUAGAUAUUACUAUAUCUCUAUACGGUUUUGAAUCAAAUUAUAUCACAUAUCUUUAGAACCAUACUCAAAUUUAACUUUAUCCGAUUUUUCGGGUAAAUAGUUUGGCGUCCACCAUAGGGCUAAGGAUAACAGUGAUUGUUUGAUAUAAAUCUGCAAUACACACUAAUUUACAACUUCGAAUCAACAAUGGCUUUACCUAUCGACCACGAAGCCGACCUUCAAGAUGAAACCAACAACAUGGUACCCGGGGCCGGAAGGCCAUUUAACAAUAGCACUGAAGCUCGAAUCGAAGUACCUAGAAUUCGAGCCGAAGUACCGCUAGAUGUCAAUUCGCAAGUGUCUCUUGAGGCGAACUAACGUUCUGAACCGGAAAAAAGCAUUCAAGGCGGUACCCGAUCCAUAGCUCGAGACGCCCAUAACGUGGAGGAAGUCGGAAUCAGCUUACGUAUGAUCUUCGAGAUAUUACAAGCCUAACAAGUAGCGAUAGCUCAGUUGCAGAGCCAAACUCAGAUACAAAGCAGACCAGAGCCCAAUCCGCUUCGAGAAAUCACCCCUAGAACGGAGCCCGCCAUAGUAAAGUCAAACGAGCAAGAAUCGGGGACCACUCCCGAAAUUACUAUACUAAUCGAGGAGCUCACAAAACGAGUCGAAGCCAACGACAAGAGAGUGGAAACAUAUAAUUCCAGGGUCGAUCAGAUCCCUGGAGCUCCACCAAUGAUAAAAGGGCUGGAUUCGAAAAAAUUCAUACAAAAGCCUUUUCCCUCGAGUGCGGCUCCAAAACCAAUCCCCAAACAAUUCUGUAUGCUCGAAAUUCCCAAAUAUAACGGUACAAUCGAUCCCAUCGAACACGUCACCUCUUACACAUGUGCCAUCAAGGGUAACAAUUUGGAGGAUGAUGAGAUCGAAUCCGUGUUGUUGAUAAAGUUCGGGGAAACCCUCUCGAAGGGAGCGAUGAUUUGGUAUCACAAUCUGCCGCCAAAUUCCAUCGAUUCUUUUGCCAUGUUAGCAAAUUCGUUCAUAAAGGCGCAUGCUGGUGCCAUAAAGGUUGCAACAAGGAAAUCAGACCUCUUCAAAGUAAAGCAAAGGGGUAAUGAAAUGCUGAGGGAAUUCGUAUCCCGAUUUCAAAUGGAACGCAUGGAAUUGCCACCGAUCACAGACGAUUGGGCCGUCUAAGCUUUCACCCAAGGGUUGAAUGAGAAAAGUUCGAUAGCACGUCGGCUGAAGCAAAAUUUGAUCGAGUAUCCAGCAAUAACUUGGGCGGAUAUACACAACCGAUAUCAGUCAAAAAUUAGGGUCGAAGAUGACUAGUUGGGAGCUCCGUCUGGAUCCAUGCAUCAGAACAGGACAUCUAUUAAAAACCAAAGGGAGAUCGACAGGGAACAAAGGUCGAAUAGAGACCGAUAUCAACCGUACAUCGCAGAUCGGAUGAGCAAUGGUUCAACACACAAUACCGCUCGGAACAAUCGAAGGAGUGAACGAGGGUAAAAUUCUCGGGGACUUAUGAGAAAGAGGGGCUUUGAUAAAUAUGCCGAUCCUAUAGAAGCACCUCGGUUAUCGGAAUAUAACUUCAGCGUUGAUGCAUCCGUCAUUGUAUCGGCUAUCAGACGCAUUAAAGACACUAAAUGGCCUCGACCCAUGCAGACCGAUCCUUUCCCAAAGGAAUCCCAAUCAAAUGUGUGAAUAUCAUGGCACCCAUGGCCACAGAACGGAGGAUUGCAUGCAACUAAGAGAGGAAGUAGCCCGGUUAUUUAACAAAGGCCACCUUCAAGAAUUUUUGAGCGAUAGAGCGAGGAACCAUUUUAAAAACAGGGAUUUUGGCAAGCAAAACGAGCAAGAAGUACUACAGCACGUCAUCCACAUGAUCAUCGGCGGCCCCGAUACCCCUCAGGGGCCAGUGCUUAAACGCACUAAAAUAUCGAUUGUGAGAGAAAAGCGAUCUCGAACUCAAAAUUACACACCCAUAGGAACAUUGUCCUUCAAUGAUGAAGAUGCAGAAGGGGUCGUACAACCUUAUAACGAUGCAUUGGUAAUAUUCGUACUCAUGAAUAAAACUAAAGUUAAGCGUGUGUUAAUUGAUCCAGGUAGCUCGGCCAACAUCAUCAGAUCAAAGGUCGUAGAACAGCUCAGCCUGCAGGACCAGAUCGUACCCGCAACCCUGGUUCUAAAAGGAUUCAAUAUGGCAAGUGAAAACACCAAGGACGAGAUAAUUCUACCAAUAAAUGUGGCAGGAACCAUUAAGGAAACAAAGUUUCACGUGAUCAAAGGCGAUAUGAGAUACAACACCCUUUUCGGAAGGUCAUGGAUCCACAACAUGAGAGUUGUACCUUCGAUCCUGCACCAGGUCCUCAAAUUCCCAACAUCAAGAGGAGUCAAAGCAGUGUACGAAGAGCAACUAGCCGCGAAAGAAAUGUUCACCAUCGAGGAAGUGAAACCAAUAUCCUCGCCUUUGCCAAUAAAGGGAUUAGGCUCUAAAGGAGAACGGGGUACCAAAUAGCAAUCACAGACAUCGGCUUCGACCCAACCAGAUAACCAGAAUAUCGAAAAAGAUGAUGAUCAUAGGAUCCCUCGAUCCUUCGUGAUUCCCGAUGACUCCGACGCCACCAAAUCAACAAUUGAGGAACUAGAGCAAGUCACACUAAUCGAGCACUGGCCCGAACGGAAGGUAUACCUGGGAACGGGGUUUAGCCCCGAACUCAGGAAGAAACUCAUCCAAUUUCUUAUCGAUAACAUUGAUUGUUUUGCCUGGUCCCAUUUAGAUAUAACAGGGAUCCCACCGGACAUAACGACGCAUCGGCUAAGCUUGGACCCUAAGUUUAGACUGGUGAAACAAAAAAGAAGACCCCAGUCCGAGGUAAAACACGCAUUCAUAAAAGAUGAGGUAACCAAACUUCUCAAGAUAGGGUCCAUUCGGGAGGUAAAAUAUUCCGAAUGGUUAGCCAAUAUAGUUAUAGUGCCUAUAAAAGGGAACAAACUCAGAAUGUGUGUGGACUAUAAGGAUUUGAACAAAGCGUGCCCUAAAGAUUCUUUUCCACUGCCUAACAUCGAUCGCAUGAUUGAUGCCAUGACCGGUCAUGAGAUCCUCAUUUUUCUCGAUGCCUAUUCCGGGUAUAAUCAAAUCUAGAUGAACCCGAAGGACCAGGAAAAGACUUCAUUUGUCACCAAAUAUGAAACAUAUUGUUAUAAUGUGAUGCCCUUCGGUCUAAAGAACGCAGGGGCUACGUAACGACGCCUAGUGAAUAAAAUGUUCGAAGAACAAAUAGGUAAAUCAAUGGAAGUUUACAUCGAUGACAUUCUUGUUAAGUCCCUGCGUGCAGAGGACCAUUUGGCUCAUUUUCAGGAAAAGUUCAAAAUUCUAAGGAAAUACAACAUGAAGUUCAACCCCGAAAAAUGUGCUUUCGGGGUCGGAUCGGGCAAGUUCCUCGACUUCGUGGUGUCGGAUAGGGGGAUCGAGAUCAACCCCGAUAAAAUCAAAGCCAUCGAAGACAUCACCAUCAUGGAUAGUGUGAAAGCAGUGCAAAGGCUAACUGGACGGAUAGCUGCCUUAGGCCGAUUCAUUUCAAGGUCGUCAGAUCGAAGCUACAGAUUCUUCUCUCUACUCAGAAAGAAGAACGAUUUCGCCUGGACCCCGGAAUUCCAACAUGCACUGAAACAACUGAAGCGGUACCUAUCGAGCCCACCAUUACUUCACACUCCGAAGGCAGAUGAGAAGCUCUACCUAUACUUGGCAGUAUCGGAAAUCGCUGUGAGUGGUGUCCUUGUUCGAGAAGAGCAAGGUACGCAGUUUCCUGUUUAUUAUGUAAGUCGGACCUUAGGAGAGGCAGAGAUUAGAUACCCACACUUAGAGAAACUGGCGCUUGCAUUGAUAAGUGCGUCUAGAAAGUUAAGACCAUACUUUCAAUGUCACCCCAUAUGCGUUUUAACCACUUACCCACUUUGAAACAUUUUUCACAAGCCCGAGCUAUCGGGCCGACUGCCCAAAUGGGCCGUCGACCUCGGUGGGUACGAUAUUGAAUAUCAGCCUCGGACGGCCAUCAAGUCCCAAAUUCUAGCCGACUUCGUGGCCGACUUCACACCAAACCUUGUACCCGAAGUUGAAAAGGAACUCAUUAAAAUCGGUUACAUCGACAUGGGUUUGGACCCUCUACACAGAUGGUGCUUCAAAUGUGAAGGGUUCCGGGCUUGGCAUCGUACUAAAGCCUCCCACAGGUGGCAUUAUUAGGCAAUCCAUCAAAACUACUAGAUUAACUAACAAUGAGGCCGAGUACAAGGCCAUGAUUGCAGGUCUCGAGCUAGCUAAAAGCUUGGGAGCAGAAGUCAUCAAAGCCAAAUGUGGCUCUUUGCUAGUGGUAAACCAAGUGAACAAAACUUUCGAGGUUCGAGAAGAUAGGAUGCAAAGGUGUUUGGACAAACUACAGAUAACUCUACAUCAUUUCAAAGAAUGGACCCUACAACAUGUACCUCGAGAACAAAACAAUGAGGCUGACGCACUCACAAAUCUGGGGUCAUCGGUCGAAGAGGAUAAGAUCGACUCGGGGACUGUCGUUCAACUCUCAAGAUCUAUAAUCGAGGGAAGGAACGCCGAAAUAAAUUCCACAAGUUUAACCUGGGAUUGGAGGAACAAGUACAUUGAAUACUUAAAAAACGGAAAACUCCCAUCGGACUCUAAAGAAUCUAGAGUUCUAAGAACCAAAGCUGCGCGAUUCACGUUGGUUGAAGAUGGAACAUUAUACAUAAGGACGUUCGAUGGACCGCUGGCAGUGUGCUUAGGGCCAGGGGACACCGAUUAUGUUUUACGGGAGGUCCAUGAAGGCAUUUGUGGAAACCACUCCGGCACUGAACCACUAAUUUGCAAAAUCAUCAGAGCAGGAUACUACUGGGAUAACAAGGAAAAGGAGACUAAGGAGUUCGUUCGAAAAUACGAUAAAUGUCAAAGGUUUGCACAAAUGAUCCAUCAACCCGGAGAGAGGCUUCAUUCCGUCAUCUCUCCAUGGCAUUUAUGAAAUGGGGAAUGGAUAUCGUCGUCCCUCUACCAUCGGCCCCAUGUAAAGCUAAAUUCAUUUUGUUUAUGACUGACUAUUUCUCUAAAUGGGUUGAAGCACAAGCAUUCGAAAAAGUAAGAGAAAAAGAGGUUAUAGAUUUCAUCUGGGAUCACAUCGUGUGUAAAUUUGGUAUACCAACAUAAAUAGCAUGUGACAAUGGUAAGUAAUUUAUCGGCGGUAAAGUAACAAAAUUUCUCGAAGACCAUAAAAUAAAAAGGAUACUAUCAACACCAUAUCAUCCUUGUGGGAAUAGAUAGGCCAAAUCAACGAACAAGAUUAUCAUCCAAAACAUGAAGAAAAGAUUUAACGAAGCUAAAGGAAAGUGGAGAGAAAAUUUUCCCGAAGUCCUUUGGGCAUAUCAGACGACGUCUAAAUCCAGUACAAGAGCAACUCCAUUUUUCCUAGUGUAUGGCUCCUAAGCUUUAAUUCCGGUCGAAGUCGAGGAACUAAGCGCAAGGUUUUGACAUGCAUCGGAAGAAUCGAACUACGAGGCAAUGAAUACUAGCCUCGAUUUAUUAGAUGAAAAACGAGAAGCGGCACUGGUUUGAAUGGCUGCACAAAAAUAAUGAAUCGAAAGGUACUACAACAGAAGAACCAAUCUCUACCAUUUCAAGACCGGGGACUUGGUCCUAAGGAAGGUCACCAUCAAAACUCGAGAUCCUAAUGAAGGUAAGCUCGGGCCGAAUUGGGAAGGACCCUAUCGAGUCCUCGAUAUAGUCGGGAAAGAGUCUUAUAAACUUGGGGCAAUGGAUGGAAAACCACUACCAAACAAUUGGAACAUAUCGGUUCUCAAACAAUAUUACUGUUAGGUAUGAUAUUUCUCCCCUCUAUCAUCUAUAUACGUUCAUUGGACGCUAAUUCAUUGUAGGAAUUCGACGAAAAAUAUCAAGACCUCCGGUUUCAAAGCACGCGUUGUACUCUUUUUCCCUUAGUUCGGCUUUUAUCCCAAAUGGGUUUUUUUGAGUUCGAGUUCAAAACAAUCACUCACUCACUCACUCGAUCAUAAAUGGCCUACGGGCUAAGAUAUUUUGAGUUCGAGUGCAAAACAAUCACUCACUCAAUUAUUAAAGCCAAAGGGCUAUCUUAUUUCGGGUUCGAUAUCUUACUUCGAGUUCGAGCAAUCACCCACUCGAUCAUAAAUGGCCUACGGGCAAAGAUAUUUUGAUUUCGAGUUCUAAACAAUCACUCACUCGGCCAUAAAACCUACGAAGACCGAAUUCGAUGGAAUCUCCUAUAAAAACAUUCGCAAGGCAUGAACGAAAAGCUUCACAAGGCAAGAAAGCCGAAACAAGUCAGUAAAAUAAAAAGAUAUUUGUAUAAAUAUACAAAGAUUAUCUACAUGAAUAAAAGUGACAUAGAAGCCAAGGGCUAAGCUUCUGGGUUAUCAUCAAGAGUGGUCUCUUCUCCACCGGGCUCCCCUUCGUCAUCGGACCCGCCCUUGCUAUCAUCGUCAUCAUCACCAUCAUCAUCGCCAUUGGAAACUAAGGCUUCAACAUCAACUUCGAGCUCUUUGGCCUUUUUUAUCUCUUCAGCAAUAUCAAAACCUCGAGCGUGUUUCUCCUCAAGGGUAUCCCUCCGAUAUCGACACUUAGCAAGUUUGGUAACCCGAUAUGCUCGAGUGUCGGCAACAUCCGCUGCCUCUCUUGCCUCCGUUUGAGCAGCCUCGGCAUCGGCCCGAUAAACAACAAUAGACUUAUCCGCCAUGACUUUCGAUGAUUCGACCUCCGCCUUGGCCUCAGCAAGCCUUGAUUCAAGGUCCCCGAUCCUCUUAGCCUGAGCUGAGACUUUUUGCUUAACGUUUCGAAGCUAAACAUCGGCCGAUAAUAAUUUGGCCAAGAUGGUUUCCUUUUCUGCAGCCAGGUGUUCGAUAGUCUCCUUCCACCGAUCGCAUUCGGCUUUGAUUUGGUCAACUUCAUCCCGAAGCAAUCCGAUCUUUUCGACCUUUUGCUGCAGCUGAGAUAACAAAGGGUUAGCUUCCAUAUUUGGGUCAAACCCAUACUCUAACAGAACAAGGCUCACCUGCUUAUCCAGUUCGGCCUCUUCUUCUCGAGCCUUAGCCAAAUCUGCUUGGAGGUCUUUUAUAACCUCAUCCUUUUGGCCGCAGAGGAGCCUCAGAGCAUCUCUCUCCCCCGAUACUUUCUGAAGCUCGACCUCACACAGACCGAGGUCAGCUCGAAACUUUCUAAUGGCCUACACAUAAGGGAAAAAACACGAGCCAAGUUUAGAAAAGAAUGAAGAAACCAAACUCAGUAAGGUCAUUACCCGAGAAAUGAAACAUUGGGCCUCUUCUAGGAAACGAAAAACGUCACCGAUAUCGGAGGCAUCAUCGACUCCAGCAAAGCAAUCCCGAAAAGGAUCCCCUGCACUAGAGCCUCCGCCCAUAUCGGGGGUCUUCAAUUCUCGAGCUUCUUUCAACGCCUCCUCAGAGUAGGUCAGAAGAGAAGGCAAACGACCCACUAUCAUGGUACCAAGAGAAUCACUCGGGGCACUCUGAUCGAGACUCAGGGUAUUGGAACCGGCCCCGACCAGUGUGGCUAUCAUCAGCUCAGAAGGUUUGGCGAUCUCAAUAGCUUUCGCAGAUCAAACCACUAAAGUCGAAACAUCUUCUUCUUCUUCUCUCAGUCGUUGGACCGAUUCCAUCGAAAGAGCGAUUGCUUUCCUCUUCACUCUUCGAGUUUUGGGUUUGGGGUCCUCAGACCGAGAGACAACCUUUCACUUUUUGUUUUUCCCCGGUUUCGAGACCGGGGACUUGGUUCUUUCCUCACCACUCGGAGGCCUCAAAAUGGCGUCCUUGGUUACACCUGCAUAAAAGGAAGCCAGUAACGAAUGAAGCAUAUAAAGCGUUUUGAAAAACAUAAGAAGAGACCCUUACCGUGAUUCUUGGCCUCCCAUCUGCCUUUUGCCAAAUCAUGCCAAGCGCGUUCGGCAUAAGAGGAAGUCGAGGCUAACUUCCGAACCCAAUCCUCGAGGACGGGGACCGCUUGUGGCAUCCAAGGGGCGGUUGUAUAUCGAAGGAAGAUAUCAAGUAAAAUCAAAGAAAGAUAUAGAAGCGAACGCCUUAUGAAAAUCACUUACGUUUGAAAUUCCACUCCUCGGGGAACGACAGCUUCUCUUCCGGGAUUAGGUCGCGGGUCCUCAACCGAAUAUAACGGCCCAUCCAACCCCGAUCCUUGUCUUCGUCAAUGCUCGUCAUUAAAACUUUCGAUGCCCGACGGUGGAGCCUGAUUAGACCUCGAAAGAUUAGAGGCCGAUACAAUCGUAUAAGGUGAUUUAAGGAAAUAUCCAGCCCCCGGCCUUGUUGGAGAAGAAGUGGAGUAAUAUUACUAUGCACCAUAGAGAAGGAUGAAUUUGACCAAUGGUGACCUGAUAUCUUUUACAAAAAUCGAUGAUCACUGAGUCGACGGGACCCAAUGUAAAAGGGUAAGUAUAAACACUUAAAAACCCAUCCACAUGAAUGGUGAUGCUCUCUUCGGAAGAGGGGAUUUGUAACACAACCUCGGGACCCCAGUUGCAGUCUCUCCUUAUAGCCUCGAGAUGGCCCUCUGAUAUCGAGCACAUGUACAUCGACACAUACUCGUAUCGACCCGGCACUGACGAAGGAUUUUUGACCCUAAAGUCCAUCUUUAGGGUACACGUGCCAGGAACAUACUCCUGGGGAGGCGGCUCCACCGGUGCCUUGUUGCCAGACGACCGUGAUGAGGAAGCUUUCUCCUUUUGAGGUACAGUUUUCGAAGUUUUGGCCAUUGAUAUAAGAGAAAGAAAGUCAAAGGAUGAUGAAAGGUUGAUGAUGGCAAACACUGGUGUAGAUGGCUCUACAAACGGCGAAAUAGGGAGAGAAAGAGUAAGAAAAUUUGGAAGAGUGAAGAUGUAAAAGUGUAAAUGAUGAAUGGAGGGGUUAUUUAUAGGCUUACAUCGUGGCGAUUCUGUAUCAGUGGUGGCCGACCACCAUCUGACAUGCAUUAAAUACCUUGAAAGACUAGAUCGAUGGGACAACUAUCGCGUACGACAUGAUCGAGCCUUGCAAAAAUGUCAGCUUAUAACCCGAUCGAACCAUCGAAAAUCAUAUCGAUUCUCACCACAUCCUUCCUGAGAAAUGAGGGGACUAUCUGUAUACGGUAGAAAUAGAUUUCGUCCUUCCUACGUCGAUCAAGUUCGAAUGGUAAGAGACUGGAGUGGAAUUUUGGGAUGAGUUCCGAAGACAGUUCAAACGAGCCUCGAGUUCCAAAGACUGAUCGAGGAGUCAGCUCGAUACCAUUAUUGAGCCCAUGACCAAAUCGGCCUGCAAGGCAAUGUGAGGGUGGUCGGAAAUGCGCUACACCCACCCCGAAGGUCGAACUCAAGCCAAAGCCGAGGGCUCGACCCAAUAACAAGUUCGAGCCAGUAUCGAGCUCGCGGACAAGAGCCGUUACAACCGCACUAAGAGAGAGAAUCUUGGUGGGAAUCAAGGAAGAGACAAUUUAUCAUGGGUUCUCCACUAUAUGUUUUCUUUUUGAUAAAUAAAGUAGGAUCCCUCUACUAUAAGAGGGGGAAUCCUUGUAAGCAUAAGACACUCUCAUACACUGUAACAAAAGAUCACUUCUCAUAUUGAAAGAGCCUAUUUGGCCAAGCUUAGGCCAGAAGUGUUUUUUCCUCGGGAAAGCAUUUUUUUCUUAACUUUCAGUUGGUUUGACCAGGAAUUUUUUAUGGGGGAGAGGGAGUACUUUUGGGGAGAAGCAGAAGCAGUUUUUGAGAAAUAGAAAAAAGUAGCUUCUCUCCAGAAGCAAAAGCAGUUUUGAAUUUUCUUCUUACCAAAAAUAUCCUUAGCAAAUUAUAUACCAAAUUAAUCUUACUUAGUUUAAACUAUUAAAUAAUAUAUAAUGAAUUCCUUUCCAGUCCUCAUGAGGUACAUACACCGACUAAGAGGUCAUAACUUUGAAUCUUCAUGUACGAGUUGAAGUUGUAAUGACCUCAGGUAAUUACUAGUAUGCAAUUUGCCACAACCCAAAUUCCAUUAUAGGUCGUGAUGACGCCUAACACCGCCGUCAGGCAAGCCAACGGUGAUCGAUCAACUUAAUUACUCAUUUUGAUUAUUUUAAAAUCAUAAUUCCUGUUAAUCAAAUAGUAUAAAAGCUAGUACACGUGCAAAACCCAUGAUUUUAUUUUCCAAUUCAUGUAUAAAAAUAUAAUUUUUAAGGUGAAAUGUUAAUAAUUACAUGAACUAUAAUAAGGAACAACCAGUAGGAACCCCUAAAAUCUGGUGUCACAAGUGUAUGAGCAUCUACUAAGGAGUACAAUAAUAAUACAAUAACCGUCUGGAAUACAAGUUAUUCGGGGAAAAUAAAUAACUAUGAUGAGACUUUGUAUGCUGCGGAUCGUAACAAGGAAAUGCAGUUCACCGUAAAGUCCCCGUAAAAGUCGCGCCUCUGCACCCAGAGGACCACCGAAAACAUAUAUAUACAUGCACAAUAAGUGCAGCGAGUGUAGCAUGAGUACGUAAUUUAACGCGUACCUAGUAAGUAUCUAGCCUAACCCCAGAGAAGUAGUGACGAGGGGUCGACAUCGAUACUUACUAGUGGUCCAAUAAGACAGAUACAAUAGAAGCAAACAGAUGUGAGUCAGAGUAAAUAAACGAAAUAAACAAGUAUAAAUACGUGGUACAACCCUCCUCUCAACAAUAAACUCAAGCUCUCAAUUAGCAGUUACCUCCUCAACUGGAGCAUAUGUAUAUAAUGGACCUUACCAGAUAGGUCGUCACAGUUCAAAUCAGAAAAAACUCACAGAUACACUAGCUUUUUGUCAAAUAUUACGCACGAUUCCAUAAGAGUAUUUUAUAGAAUUGCUAAGGCGUAUGGCCCAAUCCCAUCAUAAUGUGUGCACUUCCAAUGGUCGAAUGACACGAACCACAAAUACAUCUAUUAUAUUGUCGAGGCAAACAACCCGCUCCCAUGAGAGUGUGAUACAUAAUCAUGCCGAGGCGAACAACCCGAUCCCAUCAUAAUGUGCGCAAUGCCGAGGGUUGAACGACAUGAACCAUCGAUGUAUCUAUUAUACUACCGAGGCAAACGACCCGAUCCCAUUAGAAUAAGAAGCUUUAACGAGUCCUUGACCCCAUUCAUGAAUAAACGUGCGAGUUAUGAACUUCAAGGAAGUUUUUGGAUGAAAAUGCACAACGCGGGAGAAAUUCGUAUGGGGAGCACAAUUGUUCCGCAGCUAAUCAUGAAGCUCAUCAAAUCUCUACAAUAGCAAGUCUAUCACUCUACGCAAGUCUAGUCUCAAGUUGUAACAUAAAAUAAAGGAAUUUAAUAGACAAGUGCCAGCUUAAAUAGUACAGUUAUAGCAUGGAGGGAACCUAAGUCUACCCGGACAUAACAUGACUCUAGAUACGUACAAAAUCUCGUUACCCCGUGCGUACGUAGCCCUCGCAACAAGUAGCACAUAUCAAAUACAUCACCUAGGGAUAGUUUCCCCCUCACAAGGUUAGACAUGAGACUUACCUUGCUCCGAAGUUUCAUAACCGGCCCCAACACCUCUCUAACACCUCAACUCAAAGCCAACCAUCCCGAAACUAGUCAAACAACGUGUAAAUCAAUCAAAAUAUACUCCAAUGCCUAUAAUUUAACAAUUUAUAAUGAUCCCCAACUCUGCUAAAAAAGUCAAUAAAGUCAACUCUCAAGCCCACAUUCCCGGAUUACGAAAAUAUUUGAAGAUUAACUUAAACCAAACCACCACGAACUCAAAUAUAUAAUAUAUUCCUAAUUCCAUGUCCAAUUUUGUGGUAAAAAUCUAAAAAUACCAAUUUCUAGGUUUUCUCUUAAUAUCGCACAAUUUUCACAAUUUUUCAUGUAAUUGCAAGCCCACAUUUGUAUAUUUAGCUCACAACUUGUAGAAAUUACUUACCUCAUGUUUGACGAUGAAAUGACGCUCCAAAUCACUCCAAGGACGACUCCCAUGGAAGAAAUGAAAUAAAAAUGAGCCAAACCCAUGAACUUAAACAAGCCCUCUACCCAGCGAUCAUCGCACCUGCGGCCACUUGACCGCUUCUGUGGUUCGGCAGGUGCGGCCAACCAAUCAGCUUCUGCGGUUUUCCUAAAUCCUCCCACAUCUGCAUCUGCGAACACGAAUUCGCACCUGCGCCCGCCCCUCCACUUCUGCGAAAAUGUCCCAGCUGCCCGCUUCCACUUCGCUGCUUCAUUUCCGCUUUCGCGAUCACGUAGGUGCAGAAAACAUCAUCACACCUGCGACCUCAGUCCAGCCCUACCCAGGUCACUUCUGUGAGCCACUGCCUCACUCCUACAGUCCUUCCUACGCAGGUGCGAAAACACCAGCAUCCAAAACUUUUAGUUUUUCCUUAAGUCCAAAAUCCAAUCCGUUGAUCACUCGGAAUCCACCCUAGGCCCUUCGGGACCUCAACCAAAUAUAAUAACGCGUCGCCAUUUAUGAUCUGAACUUAGUCGAAGCCUCAAAUCACGUCAAACAACAUCAAAAUUUCGAAUCGACAAUCGAAACCUUUCUUCAAACUUUCAAACAUUCAAACUUCGCCGAACACGUCCGAAUUAUGCUUAAACAUCCCGGAAUGACGCUAAAUUUUGCAUGCAAGUCACAAAUCCUGAUACAAACCUAUUCCAAGGCUCGAAACUUCGAACGGACAUCGAUAACACCAAAAUUUAUUUCAAAUCAAACUUAAGAGUUUCUUAAUCUUCCAAAAUGCUAACUUUCCAUAAUAGGCACCGAAAUGCUCCUGGACCACCCGAUACUCAACCCGAACAUACGCCCAAGUCCGAAAUCAUCAUACGAACCUAUUGGAACCUUCAAAUCCCAAUUCCGAGGUCGUUUACUCAAAGGUCAAACCUUAGUCAAUUAUUCCAACUUAAAGCUUUCGAAAUUUAAAAUUUUCUUCCGAAUCAACUCCGAACUUCCCAAAAUCCAAAUCCGACUACACGUACAAGUCAUAAUACAUGAAGUGGAGCUACUCGAGGCCUCAAACUGCCUAACGACGCACUAGAGUUCAAAACGACCGGUCGGGUCGUUACAUUCUCCCUCACUUAAGCAUACGUUCGUCCUCGAACGUUCCAAGAACUGUUCCGGAGUUGUCCAAAAAUCACUGUUCAACACUUCGUGCACCUAUCCAUGCCACCACAACUCAUAUGAACACACUUUAUUGAGCGUUACUGAAAAUCCUUCCUGCUACCUUAGUCCACUAGCCCGGGAACCGCAUUUUAACAUCCGAAAUUCUCUACGAGGCCUGAUUCUAACAUACGAACACUGUAUAAAUCCCUACACACUGCACCCAACAUGACCAUGCUCCUCCGCUGAAAUCACACCAUGCACCACACAAGUGGCUUGGCCUUAAUAACAUCCUCUGACAACAAUAGCUGCAAUUCUACGAAUCAGAUGCCUACAAUACACCUCAUAACACAUGUAAGCCCUGUUCCAACUCUCGCAAUACUUCCACGAUGAAAGAGAUGUGUAAAAACUCAUAACACAUGUAAAUCAAGGAGACAAAUUUUGUGGGAUCUAUUUAGAUAUUCAUAAAAAAGGUGCGAAGGUUUAAAACGAGUCGGCAAACGUUUUCAAGGUCUGUAUUCUACUUAACGCGGUGACACAUACAUGAUAUAUAUCCAUUUUAUAAACCUUUAUGGCCUCAAUAAUAUAACAUAUAACAUUGCCGGCGUUAAUGAGGAACGAUGGAAAAAAAGAAAAAAAAAA
rnacentral:lncRNA from 1 species